GGAUUGGCGGGUAAUCUGGCUGCUGUUGGCCAGCACCCAAAUGAUCUCCGGGGUUGAUUAGGCUGAGGUUGACAAAAGCCCCUUUCCUCCUGCACCAUUCCACAUGCUUCCCCCAAAAGCUGAGCAGUCUGCUGAGGAGUUCCUCCUCCAGAAGAGGACCUUCCUGGCAGCAGUGUACAAGUACUCACCCACCCCUGCUGGAACCUCCAAACAAGCUCUCAAGGUGCUUGGUAGGGAGAGUGGGAUGGUAAAGUUUCCAAGAUUCCAAACUCACCCAAACGUGAUGUUGCACAUGACAGUCUGCCUCUUUUU
rnacentral:snRNA from 1 species